rnacentral:rRNA from 1 species
UACGAAGGGGGCUAGCGUUGCUCGGAAUCAUUGGGCGUAAAGGGCGCGUAGGCGGUCACUACAAGUCAGUUGUGAAAUCUCUGGGCUUAACUCAGAACGGUCAACUGAUACUGUCGGACUAGAGUGCAGAAGGGGCAACUGGAAUUCUCGGUGUAGCGGUGAAAUGCGUAGAUAUCGAGAGGAACACCUGCGGCGAAGGCGGGUUGCUGGGCUGACACUGACGCUGAGGCGCGAAAGCUAGGGGAGCGAACGGG